AAAAUCAAUAUUAUUCAAUCAGUUUACUUCUCUUGAUUCAUUUCUAUAGUUCUCAUUACUUCAUGACCAUAACACUUACUUGCCAUCUGCUAGCAGUGAUUAGAUGGAAUGGUUGUUCACUAAUCUUUUGUCGAAACAUUGGAUUGCCAGUCCUAAACUCCCAUGGAUGCUUUGGAUUAUUAUCCCGAAUACUAGAGUUAAACAUGUUUUUAGAGAAGGGAAUCGGAGUGUUGAUGCUUUGGCUAAUCUCGAGAGCAGGUCUUUUUGUAACCAGCCCCAUGAAGCUAUUUUGUCGACUGUUUUAGCUGAGGCAUGGGACCUCCUGUUUGGCGUUGUGUUCUGUAGGAUUUUGAACUUGGUUUUAUGUUAUAAAGGGCAUUCUUUUUUCUACCAAAAAAUCUCAAUAAUAAAAAAUAAAUAAUAAAACUAAAAAAAGCGACAUGAAA